rnacentral:rRNA from 1 species
UCUGGCGGCUUUAGCGCGGUGGUCCCACCUGACCCCAUGCCGAACUCAGAAGUGAAACGCCGUAGCGCCGAUGGUAGUGGGGUGGAGCAGCCUGGUAGCUCGUCGGGC